GACGAACGCUGGCGGCGUGCUUAACACAUGCAAGUCGAACGGAAAGGCCUCAGCUUGCUGGGGUACUCGAGUGGCGAACGGGUGAGUAACACGUGGGUGAUCUGCCUUGCACUCUGGGAUAAGCUUGGGAAACUGGGUCUAAUACCGGAUAUGAACUGCCUUUAGUGUGGUGGUUGGAAAGUUUUUUCGGUGCAAGAUGAGCUCGCGGCCUAUCAGCUUGUUGGUGGGGUAAUGGCCUACCAAGGCGUCGACGGGUAGCCGGCCUGAGAGGGUGUACGGCCACAUUGGGACUGAGAUACGGCCCAGACUCCUACGGGAGGCAGAAGGGGGGAAUAUUGCACAAUGGGCGGAAGCCUGAUGCAGCGACGCCGCGGGGGGGAUGACGGCCUUCGGGUUGGAAACUCCUUUCGACAGGGACGAAGCUUUUUGUGACGGUACCUGUAGAAGAAGCACCGGCUAACUACGUG
rnacentral:rRNA from 1 species